rnacentral:tRNA from 1 species
GCGGGUGUGGCGGAAUUGGCAGACGUGCAAGAUUUAGGUUCUUGUGUCCAGUAGGCGUGCAGGUUCAAGUCCUGUCACCCGCACCA